rnacentral:lncRNA from 1 species
UUUUUUUCUCGUGAUUAUCACCCACCCUCUGUUCUCUGAUCUUCUGUGGACUCACAGUUUUAUUACAUAAGAUUUCUUUUCUAGAGUUAUCCUAGGUCCUCCUUCCUAUCUCUUCCCAAAUUUAGAUCUGCUAUUUUUUGUACCUGUUUAUUUGACUCCCACAUUUGCUUAUGUAUCUUCCUAGAACAGAGCAGGGAGUACGUAUUCUGAAUUUUGCAUUUAAAAUGUGUCUUUGUUGUACAUUAAUAUGAAAGGAUCACUCAACUAUAUGUAGAAUUCUAACUUGGAAAUACAUUUAUUCAGAAUUUUGAAGGCAUUUGUAUAUCUAUUACUGUAAAAUAUAGAUAAAACUAAAAAUAAAUCCAAGUCUAGACUUAUUUUUAUCCUUAAAGGUAAGAGGUUAGGUUUUUUCUUUUUUUUUUUUUCUUCCUCCCUAAAGCUCUUAAUGUGUUUCAUUUAUUGUUAUUCUCUUUUAAAUGUAUAUAUUUUUUACAGAACAAUUUUGGAUUUAUAGAAAAAUUAUGUGGGUAAUACAGAGUUCCCAUAUGCUUAUCCAGCACACAAUUUCCCCUAUUUUUAAUGUGGAACAUUUAUGAUAAUGAAUGAACCAAUAUUCAUUCAUUAUUAUUAACUAAAUUCCCUGGUUUACACUGAGGUCCACUUUUUGUGUUCCACAUUUCUAUGGGUUUUAAAAAAUGCAUAAUAUCAUGGAGCCACCAUUACAAUGUCAUUCAAAAGUGUUUCAUCAUCUUAGAAAUCCCCCAUGCUUCCUCUGUUCAUCCCUAUGCCAGCCCUACUUAUCCAUCCUACUCUCCCUAUUUCCCCAGGCCCAGAACUCCUGGCUCUCAUGUUUUUUACUAUCACAGUAGUUUUACCUUUUCCAGAAUGUCAUAUAGUUGAAAUCACACAGUUUGUAGUUUUUUCAGAUUGACUUCUUUACCUUAGCAGUAUACAUUUAUAGUUCUUCCAUGGCUUUGUAUGGUUUGAAGUACUGAUCUUUUAUUUUUAUUGUUGAAUAAUGUUAUAUUGUAUGGAUAUACGACAUAUUGGUACCACAUACCAAGUUAUUUAUCCAUUAACUUACUGAAGGAUGCUUGGUUGCUUCUAGCUUAUGAAAUAAAGCUGCUAUAAACAUUCAUGUGCAGGUUUUUGAAUGGACAUAACUUUCAACCCAAUUGGACAAACACUUUGGAACAUGGAUACUCAGUAGCAUUGUAAGAAUAUGGUUAGCUUUGUAAGAAACUACCAAACACUUUCAAUGUGGCUGUACCAUUUUCCAUUCCUACCAGGAAUAAAUGAGAGUCCCUACUACUCAACACUCUCUCUAGCAAUUGGUAUUUGUCAAUUUUAUGGAUUUUGGCCAUUGUAAUAGGUAUAUAUUGAUGUCUCAUUUGUUGUGUUAAUCUGAAAUUCCCUAAUGACAUAUAACAUUGAGCAUCUUUUCAUAUGCUUCAUGUUUGCAUAUCUUUUGAGAAUAGUGUCUACUCAUCUUUUUGCCCAUUUCAAAAUUGUCAUAUGUUGGCCCACUCCCCCGGGAACACAUCCACCCUGAUGCUGUCACUGCCAAACGCUCCAGGUAGUGCCCACAUGGACUUGAUCACUGUCACUUCCCAGGAUGCUGCAACUAGGAGCAGCUUAUGCAACUAGGAUGGAUGCUUCUUGCUUGGCCUACAGGUGGUGGGGGAAAACCAUUUCAGUUAUCUCUGACUCCAGAGGUGGGUGUGGCCCACCACUACUAGGAGUCUAUGAACAGGCACCACUUGCAGACCCAGUCACCUCAGAGGGCACCACAGAGGAGGGCAUUAAGACCAAACACCACCUGUUGUUGUUCUUGCUCCUCUGGGAACUUACACACCCUGCCACUGCCACUACCAAAUGCUCUUGGCAUUGCCUAAAUCUGCCUGAGGCUCAUUACCACUUCCCAGGGCCCUGCAACUUGGAGUAACCUGUGCCACCUUCUUGUGGGUCCUUGCUACUGUCAAGAGCCCAGCAACUGGGCACUGACUACUAGCCCUACUCAUUGCCUCCUUCUUCCUGGAAACACACGCAACACCCUUGGGAUAACAGCCUGCUCACAGUGAAGAGACAGCAAAUAUCCAAACUAUCAUGCCAAAAAUAAAUAGUAACCCCCCCUACAAAAUAUAAAGGGGUGCUCUUACAUAGAAAUAGCCCUCCAAGACUGUAGUUUGGUUUCCCUAAACUCACAGAAAAAGGAAAAUAUAAGAAAAAUGAAGAAGCUCAGGAACCAUUCCCAGUUAAAAGAACAGGAGAAUUAACUUGAAAGAGCAAAUAAUGAAACAAACCUCUGCAGUCUAACAGAUACUGAAUUUGGAAAGAAGAUAGUGAAAAUACUGCAGGAAUUAAGGUUGAAUAUGAAGGAAUUAAGAGUGGAUAUAAACAGUAAUGCAGAUUAGUUUAGAAAGGAACUAAAAAAUAUAAGGAGGAACCAAGAAAAAUUAGAAAAUUCAUUUGCAGAGAUACAAACUGGGCUAAAGACCCCAAAGAGCAGAAUGAAUAAUGAAGAGGAACGAAUUAGUAAGUUGGAAGAUAGAAUAAUGGACAUCAUCCAAUCAGGACAGCAGACAGAAAUCCAAAUGAAAAAUCAUGAAAACAAUAUAAGAGAUCUAUGGGAUAAUAUAAAGUGGGCCAAUCUAUGCAUAGUAGGAAUUCCAGAAGGAUAAGAAAAAGAAAAGAGGAUUGAAAAUAUAUUUGAAGAAAUUACAUCUGAAAACAUUCCAAAUCUAAAGAAAACAGAUUUCAAGAUACCGGAAGCACAGAGGGCCCCAAACAAGUUGAACCCAAACAGGCCCACACCAAGACAUACUGCAAUAAAAAUGGCAAAAGUUAAAGAGAGGAUUCUAAAGGCAGCAAGAGAAACCCAAAGUGUUAAUUAUAAGGGACCCCCCCCCAAACACACAUAACGCUAUCAGCUGAUUUCUCUACAGAUAUACUACAGGCUAGAAGAGAGUAGCAAGGUAUAUUAAAAUUUAUAAAAGGGAAAAAUUUGCAGCAUAGAAUAUUCUACCCAGCAAGGAUAUCAUUUAAAAUAGAAGGAGAAAUAAAUAAUUUUUCCAACAAACAAAAGCUAAAAGAGUACAGCAAUACUAAACCCAUUCUAAAAGAAAUACUGAAAGGGCUUCUCUAAAUAAAAAAGAGGUAAGAAGAAAUAGGAUGGAGGGAAUCACAAUUGGUAAGCAAUCAUUU